rnacentral:snRNA from 1 species
UUACUUACCUGGAUGGGGUCUAUGGCUGAUCAUGAUGAGUCAUGGCCUAGGCUGGUGGCCUCCAUUGCACACUGGAGGAGCAUUAGCUUACCAUCUAAAUGGGAGAGUAGACAUCAUAAUUUGUGGCAGAGGGGGUACGCGUUCGCGCGGCCCCUA